AGCUGAACGGGAGACCUCAGAAGGGAAACAGGGUGAGCAAGGCCGUCUGGAAGGGGAGAAAAGACCGUGGGGGAAGCUCUGGAAAACCCUCCCGAAAUGAGCUCCCUUGCUGCAAGUCCCCUCACGCCCCUGAAGCAGCUCCGUGUCCCUGUCCCCAGCUCCCCCUGACCUCACUAAGAGAGUGGAGGUAGGCUGUGACUGUGUCUGACAGCGAAACCCACUUCCUGACCCCUCCGUCACUGACUUUCCUCAAAAGAGAUCACUUUGAGUUUGGUGACUACGCAGUUGAUAUCUGGACUGAACCCUCUCCUCUCAUGCUGCUGCUUCAAGACAAGAUUGCACAACCCACAGGGCUCGUCAUCAUCGUCUUGAUAUCUGUGCAUCUAUGCAUCUUGUCUGUGUCCUAAGAGAAGCAAACCCAUCCAGUGGUGAAGGUCUCUGUGAGCGGUUUCAACUUUUUGCAUACGCUCCAGCCGCAGGCGCGUGCUGACUCAGGAGGCCUGGGAUGGGGCCUGAGCUUCUGCAUUUCUAACAGGUUCCCAGGUGAUGCCCAGGCUGCUGAUCUAAUGUCUAUACCUCAAGUAGCAAGGGGACUGUGGGAAGACAAGGAACUGAAGUGUCUGGAAGCAGGUUUAGGGACAGAGCCUCGUGAAAAGUGAAACUUGGCUCUCCUGCGGCAAUGUCUUCCGUGGAUUUCGAAGCCAUUUGCAAAACACCUUAGGGGCCAGUGUUUGCUUCUGAUUGCCUUUGUUCGUCAGCGGGCUUGGCGCUCUCUACCCACAUGCAGAACCGCUGAAGUCCACAGCUGUUUUGUUUGGACAGGCUGGUGGUGAAGUCUGAGCUUGCACACAAAGGGCUUAUCAUCAACACGAGCCUUUCCCUGACAGCUGUUUUCCUUCCCGGCCCCAGGACUCUGGCCAGAGGACAGGGAUAGGGCUUGCUGGAGGAAGAAGUGGGGGUAUCAGCAAGCUCUAUAGCUGCCUGGCUCAAGACCUGGGGGAGUCUCACGCCCACACACCAGAUUAGAGAGCAGGUUUGCACUUUGAUCCCUGCACCAGCACACGUAUGGAAUAAGUGGUUUGAUAAAUUCAUUGGUUUUGUAUGUAAGGGCUGGUGUAGAAGCAAGAACUACAUUAUUUCUUAUACUAAAACAAGGCAUUUCUCUAAAUUACAAUGAGUGAUUUCCAAGUCCCACUGCAAAACCUGCCGUGUGUGUAAAUAUGUGUGUCCAGGACUGAACAGCACACGUCCUGCCAGCACGAGGUGAGGCGUAUGAAAUCAGUACUAGGUAUGUGGGUGCCACACCUCCUAGAGCUCGUGAAAAUCAGGGUCCCUGUCAGUCAGCUGUGCACAAGGAGAGGAAGAGGCGCCUUCAGUGACUUCCUUGGAGAAGGAGUAUUUUGUGCUGGUGAACUGCUCCCCCUGGUGGACCAGGGAUUGAUAUGUCUGUUCUGGGGGAACAUACAGGCUCCUGCUGGGGAGGAAACUGGGCGGCUUCAGGCAGACAAAUGGACCCUCCAGGAAAAAAGCUAACCCUCUGAGCACCAGAAAUAAGUUGAACCCCUAGCCCAGCCCCUGGAUGAUUUUGCGCAUCGCCGUCCCGCAAAGCACAGAGGCCAGUCUUGCCACACUCUCCUUGCCGCGUGGGUUCUCAUGAUCACGGCUGUUUUGAAAUUGUGGAUCUGUGUGCAUAGGAGAGACAUGGAAAACUCCAAGUUCUGUAUCUUACUGUAUUCACCUUUAAAAAGCAUUCUGGACACUCACACAGGGAAAAGGGCCCCCGAAGAGAGGAACAUUCCACCGUGUACUCAUUUGUUUCCCCUACUUCCUGUUUACUGCGCUCCUCUCUGCCAGGGGUUCAUGCUGCUGGUGGUUAAUUUAUGCCUAGAUGCCUUGUUCCACAUGCAUGCUCUCAAGAUAAAAGUAUGUUUUCUGA